rnacentral:rRNA from 1 species
UAAGAGGUCCCGCCUGCCCUGUGACUAUAUGUUUAACGGCCGCGGUAUUUUGACCGUGCGAAGGUAGCGCAAUCACUUGUCUUUUAAAUGGGGACCUGUAUGAAUGGCAUAACGAGGGCUUAACUGUCUCCUCUUUCAAGUCAAUGAAAUUGAUCUUCCCGUGCAGAAGCGGGGAUAAACACAUAAGACGAGAAGACCCUAUGGAGCUUUAGACACUAAAGCAGAUCAGUAUUAAUACCCUUAACAAUAGGGCCCGAAUCAACUGAACCCUGCCCUAAUGUCUUUGGUUGGGGCGACCGCGGAGAAAUAAAAAACCCCCGCAAGGACCGAAUGUACUACAUUCACGACCAAGAGCGACAGCUCUAAUUAACAGAAUAUCUGACCAAUAAGAUCCGGCAAUGCCGAUCAAUGAACCGAGUUACCCUAGGGAUAACAGCGCAAUCUCCUCUU